rnacentral:rRNA from 1 species
UAGGGAAUCUUCCGCAAUGGACGCAAGUCUGACGGAGCAACGCCGCGUGAGUGAAGAAGGAUUUCGGUUCGUAAAACUCUGUUGUUAGAGAAGAACAGCGCAUAGAGUAACUGUUAUGCGUGUGACGGUAUCUAACCAGAAAGCCACGGCUAACUACGUGCCAGCAGCCGCGGUAAUACGUAGGUGGCAAGCGUUGUCCGGAUUUAUUGGGCGUAAAGCGAGCGCAGGCGGUUAGAAAAGUCUGAAGUGAAAGGCAGUGGCUCAACCAUUGUAGGCUUUGGAAACUGUUUAACUUGAGUGCAGAAGGGGAGAGUGGAAUUCCAUGUGUAGCGGUGAAAUGCGUAGAUAUAUGGAGGAACACCGGUGGCGAGAGCGGCUCUCUGGUCUGUAACUGACGCUGAGGCUCGAAAGCGUGGGGAGCGAACAGG